GUCCUAGCUGUAAACGGUGCACGUUUGCUGUAAGAGGAAUCGACCCCUCUUGUGGCGAAGCUAACGCGUUAAACGUGCCGCCUGGGAAGUACGGUCGCAAGAUUAAAACUCAAAGAAAUUGACGGGGGCCUGCACAAGCGGUGGAGUAUGUGGCUCAAUUCGAUGCAACGCGAAGAACCUUACCUGGCCUUGACAUGUAUGUAGUAGAAGGGUGAAAGCCUGACGAGGGUAGCAAUACCCAGCAUACACAGGUGCUGCAUGGCUGUCGU
rnacentral:rRNA from 1 species